GCUCAAAUAGUUUAAGAUAAAAUUUCAAUUUGUGGAAUUGGAGAUGUAGUAUACUUUGGGUA
rnacentral:tRNA from 1 species